AACGAACGCUGGCGGCAUGCCUAACACAUGCAAGUCGAACGAGACCUUCGGGUCUAGUGGCGCACGGGUGCGUAACGCGUGGGAACCUGCCCUUAGGUUCGGAAUACCUCCCCGAAAGGGGUGCUAAUACCGGACAAUGUCUUCGGCCCAAGGAUUUAUCGCCUUUGGAUGGGCCCGCGUUGGAUUAGCUAGUUGGUAGGGUAAAAGCCUACCAAGGCGACGAUCCAUAGCUGGUCUGAGAGGAUGAUCAGCCACACUGGGACUGAGACACGGCCCAGACUCCUACGGGAGGCAGCAGUGGGGAAUAUUGGACAAUGGGCGAAAGCCUGAUCCAGCAAUGCCGCGUGAGUGAUGAAGGCCUUAGGGUUGUAAAGCUCUUUUACCCGGGAUGAUAAUGACAGUACCGGGAGAAUAAGCUCCGGCUAACUCCGUG
rnacentral:rRNA from 1 species